UACGUAGGGUGCGAGCGUUGUCCGGAAUUAUUGGGCGUAAAGAGCUUGUAGGCGGUUUGUCGCGUCUGCUGUGAAAAUCCGGGGCUCAACCCCGGACUUGCAGUGGGUACGGGCAGACUAGAGUGUGGUAGGGGAGACUGGAAUUCCUGGUGUAGCGGUGGAAUGCGCAGAUAUCAGGAGGAACACCGAUGGCGAAGGCAGGUCUCUGGGCUGUAACUGACGCUGAGGAGCGAAAGCAUGGGGAGCGAACAGG
rnacentral:rRNA from 1 species